ACUCUGUUAUUAGGGAAGAACAUAUGUGUAAGUAACUGUGCACAUCUUGACGGUACCUAAUCAGAAAGCCACGGCUAACUACGUGCCAGCAGCCGCGGUAAUACGUAGGUGGCAAGCGUUAUCCGGAAUUAUUGGGCGUAAAGCGCGCGUAGGCGGUUUUUUAAGUCUGAUGUGAAAGCCCACGGCUCAACCGUGGAGGGUCAUUGGAAACUGGAAAACGUGAGUGCAGAAGAGGAAAGUGGAAUUCCAUGUGUAGCGGUGAAAUGCGCAGAGAUAUGGAGGAAAACCAGUGGCGCAGGCCACUAUCUGGUCUGUAACU
rnacentral:rRNA from 1 species